AAGGCCUUCAGCUCUUUCCCAGGCUGCUCAGGGAGGCUCUGAGGGUUCCUCAGGCACUGCCUUCUUGGGAGGAAGCAGGAAAUGGCAUUUUAGGGAUUGCGAGAGGAACGAAGACUAGCAGGACUCUGAACCUUAGAAGGAAGCCAUGGCUGUUGUACGGGAGAAUGCUCCAGAAAGUCUCCCAGGAGGUCUCAGAUGAGGACAGCAGGAUACAUUUGUGGAGAAAGAAUCCAUGGUGACUCAGAACCCACUGCAAAGAGAUGGGCCAGGUCACUAUGUGGGUAGCAGAGCAGGAGCAGCCUCUUAUCAGUCCAGCCAAGGGGGUCUCCAAGGAGAAGCCAGUUGCCAUGGUGUGAGGACGCUCAAGGAACCCUACGGAAAGGUCACAUGUCAAGGAACCAAAGUCUCCUGCCAACAUGUGAGUGAAUGAGCCACUUGGAAGCAGAUCCUCCAGGCUGAAUCAAGCCUUCAGACAACUGUAGCCCCAGCUGACCCCUUGACUACAAUCCCAUGGAGGACCUGAGCUGGGACCACCCAGCCAAGCUGCUCUUGAAUUCCUGAACUGUAGAAAUUAUGAAAGAUAAUAAAUGUUUAUUGUUGUUGCUACAUUUUGGGGGUAAUCCAUCACACAGUAAUAGACAGCUGAUACAUUCUCCACAAAUUCUUGGUGAAUGAAUAAAUGAAUAAAAAAUGAGUGAAUAAAUAUGACAAUGUCUUACAAGACUCAAUGGUCAGUGCUCUCAUUUCUAUUGAAAAGAGGCAAAUGGACCAUGUCCUGCCACAGAAUUCCUCAAUACCUGUCAAUACAGCAGGAAGGAAGUGGAAAACCUGACAUGGCUCUCGUUCUGCCAAAAUAAACUCAUUUUUCACCAUUCUCCAUCAGGCAAGAUCCUUUUUUCCCCCUAAACAGACCAUCCUAAAUAUCUGAAACCUGUUCCUUCAUACCUCAACACCAUUGCAUGGGCUCUCUACCUUCUCUGGGAGGCUCUUCCCUCAUUCUUUCUCCUUGUAACUCCUACUUAUAUCUUUAAAAAAUGAGAAGUUAUUUUUA